rfam:Cicer arietinum chromosome Ca1, whole genome shotgun sequence.
AGGCAGCCUCCUUGAUACAAUUAUAUAUCAUGUGAGGUGUUUAACUGCUCGUAAAUCAAAUGCUUUUGCUCUUCAGACUUGCUGAGAUUUUUCUUUGAAGCUGGUCUAGUAAGCUCAAGUAUAAU